AUGACUGAUAGUAUCAGAAUUUCUUUGUUUGCCAAAUGUACAGGGUACACGGGGGAAUUUAACUUGGUAUUUCUCUGCGUAACAUGCAACAAUUAUAAGUGUAAAAGCAAUUACACCUAAGUGUGAUACCUAGAAUAUGUACAAACAUGUACACGUAUGCAACAUACAUGACCCACAUACAGCAUGUGACCAUCCAAAUAGUGCAAAACAAUGUAGUGCAAUUUUAACAUGCUGCAAUUUCACACACAUGGCAAAUUUGUUCUUAUUAGGCUUUGUAGUUUUAUUUUUGGUAGAGUGACUUCUUUAAAGACCUCUGCCACUACCUCAAUGGGGUACGAUGACACUUGAGUAGUUACACUGUGUGGCCUGACGUCUGCCAAUAUUUGAACUUCUGGUUGAAUUUUAGUUUAAUCUCAGCUCUCAAGCUUAGGUCCUCUGUCUGGGUGUUCUUCUGAUCUAAAUUUACCAAUAGUAAUUGUUUAUGUACUGAAAAUGUAUGGUUUGACAGUUUUACACCAAGAAUGUCCUUAAUGGAGCAGGCCAUGAACUACAAGAAGCCAUUUAGUGAGGGUGAUCCUUUGAAUUUAUUACUCUUGGUGGACUAAGAAUGGACUUCUUUUUUUUUUUCUUUCUUUUUUUUGCUUACAACUGAAGUACUCUUGAUUUUUUUUUUUUUUUAUGCCUCCACAACGGCACAGCCAGCACUUGGAAUCAAGGAUGAACUGAUUAGAUUUUGGUGGGCAAAGGUCACGGUCACUGUGACCCCACAAAGCACGUUUUUUGCCAUAACUCAAGAAUUCAUAUGCUAAUUAUGACAAAGUUUCACACAAAUGUCUAAUAGGAUAAAAUGAAGUGAUGGCAUUUUAUAUCCAAAUGGUCAAUCUAGUCAGGAAAAGGAACCAGGGAUGGAGUGAAUUAUCACAUGCAUGAAGCCUUGAUGAAGUGAUGACAUUUUAUAUCCAGACUGGCUACUGGUUGGCAGAGGCAUACAACCGUGAGGUGGUAUUUCUAGUUGUUAUUGUCAUCUGAAAUGACAGGGAAAUGCUUGUUUGAACUUUAACUUCCAACUUUCACAAUUUUCUGAAUUUUGUGCACAGCUGUUGCUACAUCAGAGUGAAGCAUUUAAUGGUAAGGUGCUGAAGAACCAAUAACGUUUCUGUUUUCUCCAAAUCCACUAUCCCCUCUGCCAGAUGGAGGGGGAGGGAUGUUCUCCUGCUAAGCUUCGUUACUCAAGGAUUUUCAUUUAGUUGGAGAGUGUGCGAGACAUUUGUGUUCUAGACUAUAAACGCUGUCGCAAAAGUUUAAAUUACGGAAAAUAACCGUAAUUGCCAUGCUCAGUAUUCCCUACUGUUUAAAAAGAAUAUAAAUUUUUACUUUGUGUCGCUUGACAUUCUGUAGGGUUUAAAGAAUGCAACGCAAACUACGUUCAGAAUGUUGAAAUGCAGUGGCACCUGACACUAAGCUGAGCUGAACACCUGGUUGUGGUUUUGGUCGUAAUGUUUUUUUCCCCACUUCCCUUUCGGGGCCCAAAGGUUCGCAGUUACCCUGCUGUAUUUUUAGAUUUUCUUCUCCUUCCUGGAAAGUGGCAGGCAAAUGAGGGCUGAGGGUUUGCACCUGUUGAAGCUCUGGUGAUCUGGUGAUUGGGGAUUGUAGUCUGGCUGUAUAUCAAGCAAAAUGACUUGUAGUCUGGGUGAAUAGCUUACCAAGCAGCGACUGACCACCAGUCACAGUAAGUUUUGUGCAGUGCGGUCCAGCAAAUUAAGUAUACAGACAACAGAAAUGACACUGGGAAAUCUCACUUCUAAAAGCCUUUAGAACACAUUUUGAACAUUUGUUUUAGUGCACUUUUUUUCAUUUGUCCUUUAUUUUGCGUUACAUUUCAUAACACAAAAACAGUUACACGACAAAGCUAACAACCAGACAAAAUACACUGAACCAAAAUACUUAAUAUAUAUUAUUGGAAAAAAAAAAACCACAUUGUUCUUUAUCCUUGCAAAAAAACUUGUCUGUAUUCUCUUGGGUGUUCUUUUUUAUUUGGAACUUACAGUUUAAGUGCUCUUCAAUGGGAUGCAUUCUAAAAGUCUUGACAGCAGGGAAAGGAAGGUUGUUUGACUGGGGCAAGCAACAGUCCUGAGAUCUGUUAUCCAGGGUGAGUAGAAAACAAUUUUUGGAAACCAAGUGGUUCAUAUUGUUACUGGAUCUUUAAGUUGAUGUAUAUACCCUCUGGUACCCAGUCGAGCCGUUUUUCCUGCAGCUCAGAGUAACACACCAUAAACUUCUACUCUGAAACCUGAAAUGAAACAAAAACUACGUCUGAGAUGAUUGCUUAUAACACACAUAGCAGAUGCAACACAUGCCAACAAAUAAUCUUGUUCUUCCACUUUAAACAUUCACAGCUCUACCACAGUGAAAAGCAGAUGUACCACAGUAAUCAUCUCAUCAAACUGCUGCAGCUGAACAGGUUUGGGCUUUUUAAGUACUUGAAUGGGAGACCUGGGUAAACUAAGUUGCUGCGGAUAGUGGUAUUGGUGAGCCAGCAUGGGGCACUGUUCUUGCUGGACCAAGUCCAGUGCUCCAGCACAACUGUGUGGUAGAAGAUGCAAAUCUUGAACACUUUCAACCAAGGCCCUGACCGUGUCAUUCAAAAGCCAAUAGCACUUUUAGAAUGUGUAUGGGGUUCCUACAAAAAACUGGCUUCCUGCCAGUGGCCACUUAAUCACAGCCCAGAUCUGAUUGGCUGCACAAUCCUUUGCUCUCUCUACCUGCUUUAAUUCUCCAGGUUGCCUUUGCAACUCAGAAUUUCUCUGGUUCUCUGGGCAGAGUAUUGAUCUCAUAAUCUUGGAUCAAUCCUGAGUGUUCAGGCGGAAUGUGACCAGGAGCCAGUGAGCUGGGAGAGUGACACAUAAUUAACCACAACAUCACAUCAUCCAUGGAGGAGGGAGGGGUUGAGCCAGUAGGGUUCUCCCAGUUACACUUGUACAUUAGCCUCGAUCUGGUCGAUCGGAAGGGUGCAGCUCUGUUAGUGGACCCGUUUUGGAUGAUGUGCACACUGCACUCUGACAGUGAAAGCAUUGCAGCAAUAGGAUGAGUUUAAGGUGUCAAUCCUUAGUUUUUUCAUAUUAAAAAUAGCAUAUUUCACACCUUUUCUGGGGUCUAUGAAUCUCCCCAAUAAAAAUGUUAAUUUGCUAGAACUCA